rnacentral:rRNA from 1 species
AUUGAACGCUGGCGGCAGGCCUAACACAUGCAAGUCGAACGAGUGGCGGACGUGUGAGUAAUGUCUGGGAAACUGCCUGAUGGAGGGGGUAAACUACUGGAAACGGUAGCUAAUACCGCAUACCAUCAGAUGUGCCCAGCUGGGCUUAGCUAGUUGGUGGGGGAAGGGCUCACCAAGGCGGCGAUGCCUAGCUGGUCUGAGAGGAUGACCAGCCACACUGGAACUGAGAGACGGUCCAGACUCCUACGGGAGGCAGCAGUGGGGAAUAUUGGACAAUGGGCGCAAGCCUGAUGCAGCCAUGCCGCGUGUAUGAAGAAGGCCUUCGGGUUGUAAAGUACUUUCAGCGGUGAGGCGUUACCCGCAGAAGAAGCACCGGCUAACUCCGUGCCAGCAGCCGCGGUAAUUC